CCCCGCAGAGCUUAGACAUCAGGAAGCUUUAGAUUGGAAGCAGUUGUGAGGCACUGUUAGGCGCACAUACGGACAUUGUUUGGGGUGUUUGUGACAAUAGAUUUUCUGAGUACGUCCCUCAAAACAUUCUAACUGGAAAUUAAAAUUUGCAGCGUUCUAGCAUCUCUAUAAGACAAACAUUUUAUCGAUCUGUUUUUUUCCCCGAAUGUAUUGGGCAAGAAUGAUCGCGGAAGCAGAGCUGAGCAGAGACAUGGGAGAAUGAGCCAUCAGCAGCUGCUUGGGCCGCGUGAGCCUGCGUGUCUGUCUCACUGCAAAUGCAGCACCUCCAUCAGUAUAAAGCAUUAAUCCAGCUGACUCGCCAGAAUUCGGUCGUCUUGCAAAAUGAGAGAGAUAAUAUAUGUGUGUAGUAAAUGUGUGGCGAUAAAACAUUUCUGCAAUGAUUUAUACUGACCUGAGAGAGAACAGGCGUAAAUCAAUAACAGCGGGACCCAAAACGUGCUUUCAGAUGUGGAAUCAUUGCCUUAUUGUCACCGAUUAUAGAUGAAUUUUAAUCUCUGGUUUGAUAGGGUUUGGCCACUAUACAAACUGUUUCAGAUACCAAAAUACACAAUAUCCCACUGUGGUGGCUUUUAUUGGCCUUGUGGAAAUAAGCCAGAAUGUGUUUUAGACCUUGGUAACUCAAACUCAGCCUUCCCUGGUGAUGCAGAGAGGAUUAUUUCUCAGGCAGUGUGUGCAGGUGAAAGGAAAUUUUUUUAUUGUUAGUGUGGACAAGGGCUCCCUCUGGAUAUUGGUGAGUGGAUGGAAGCUGCCUCAACUUUGAGUCCUUAACCAUUGUAAGUAAAUCCUUCUGUCCAGGACAGGGUUGUGCAGCAUUGCAUGGCUUUGAAAACAGACACAGGCUCAGUUCAGGCAGGGGAGAGCGGGACCUGAUACAGUAAAUCUGCAGAAUCCCUCAGCUUCCUGCUAAUGUGUUAGUGUCACGUUAAGUGCAAUGCUGCCCCUACUGUUGGGCCUGGGUAUGGCCAGGGUGUGCUUGUGAGAAUCAGUGUGUGCUAUUCGCUGAGCCUGGACCCAGGACUCAGGUGGGACCUGGGAGAAGUGUUUGUCUCAUCUCCCAACCGGCCCCAGAGCCUUUGGAAGGGCCACACCCCUGCAUGCCAGGACCCAGAAAUGGCUAUUGUCUAUGCAGGUUUUCGCUGUAACUCCCUAAUUAGGUUGGCUGAGGAGUCCUCACACCUGGGCUUGAACAGCUGACCUAAAGGUUACCCCACAAACCUGCAUACACACCGGCCCUUUGCAGUCAAGAUCGCCCAGCCCUGCUAUGGACUGAUUAAUGACUAAUUAGCUCUGUCCCUGAACGUGUCCUGGCUGGCUGUCCAACAGCAGAGAGACGGGCUGCAAAAACCAGCCAUCUGAGCCCAGCAGGCUUCGCGGGACAGACGAUGUCGGACAGACCGCCGCCCCCAGUGGCCUCGGCACGGACCACCGCAGAGACCAGACACGCUGACAUCUAUCUAGACGAUGGGAAUCAUUACGGAGUUUACGCCUCAGCUUGGGAUGGCUUGGCUGUGAAGCACAUUGUAACAUGGCCCCCUGCCUUAUCUGAGACGUGUGCAUGGAAUCAAAAGCAUGGACUGGUCACUGGCCUGAUUUAAUUAGUGUUUUAGGGGCUGCCUUAUUGGGACGAAGAGGAAGUGAUCUUAGCCACGUGGUUUUGUGUGUCCUCUGAUAUAAGGAGAGUGACCAGAUCAGUAACCUAUAAUGGUAGACCGUGCAGAGAAGCUACUUCCGAAAAACGAAGGACAUCAGGUUGUAUUUGAGAUGCACAAUAUCCCAGUUUCCCAUACCUGAAGCUGCAUUCACAUUUCCAGAGAAAUGCAGUGCUCACUGGCACUCAGUGAGACACGACGGUGUUUUGGUGAAUUGAGCCGUGUCCAGGCUGGGCACCACUGUGGGCUCCAGUUCCUUCUACUUGUGGUAAAUGUUCACUGCCUUGCUCUGUAGGUAAUAAAACAUGCUUUGCGCACAGUC